AGAUAUUUAAUCCCCGCAAGGGGCCUGUUUGUAGGUGCUGCAUGGUUGUCGUCAGCUCGUGCCGUGAGGUGUCGGGUUAAGUCCCAUAACGAGCGCAACCCCUACUGUUAGUUACCAACGGGUCAAGCCGGGGACUCUAACGGGACUGCCGCCGUAAGGUGUGAGGAAGGUGGGGAUGACGUCAAAUCAGCACGGCCCUUACGUCCGGGGCUACACACGUGUUACAAUGGCCGGUACAGAGGGCAGCUACUUGGUGACAAGAUGCGAAUCCCAAAAACCGGUCCAAGUUCGGAUCGGAGUCUGCAACUCGACUCCGUGAAGCUGGAUUCGCUAGUAAUCGCGCAUCAGCCAUGGCGCGGUGAAUACGUUCCCGGGCCUUGUACACACCGCCCGUCAAACCAUGGGAGCUGGGGGUGCCUGAAGUCCGUAGCCGCGAGGUUCGGCCUAGGGUAAAACUAGUGACUGGGGUUAAGUCGUAACAAGGUAGCCGUACCGGAAGG
rnacentral:rRNA from 1 species